UGCUGAAUUCUGAUUUCACCAACUGUCUUUUUGAGGCAAGCCAUUUGUUCAUUUCAACAACCCUUCCGUGUGAUCAUCAUCUUCAUUUCUUCUCUCAAGUGAAACAUUAAUUUAGAGAUUGAGAACUGUGAUUUCAUUCUCAUCUGAUCUCUAAUCAGAACUUGAAUGUUUGAAAUUUCUUCUAUUAUCUUCAUAAUAUAGCUGUCAGGUAGAUUCGAUCACGAAUUGAAGCAUUUUAUAUCCUCCAAAAUGAGCAAAAAGAAAAGGAAGAAGCAAAAUGGUGGUUUAGAUCCUGAUGAAUCGGUACGUGAGGAUUCGGAAAAACACCAGUUGUUUUGGCUUAAGAAAUUCUGUGGUCGGGGUGAUGUUAGAGUUGAUAAUAUUUUUCCACGCGAUGGAGAUGGUAAUGUUAGGCUUUCUCCUCAUAUAUGGAAGCAAACAAUGGAAUGAGGAAUGCGGUGGAGAAUGUGAGGGACGAGGCAAAACGGCGAGCCUUAACGGUACGAUUUUUCUUUUGGUUCAUGUUUUAGAAGUAUGAGUAUGAAAAACAUUUCGUUCUCGAUCUUAAAUUUCCAUUUCGCCUGGGGAUUUCUUUGUUUAUGUGCAUCCGAGUAGUCAACUAAACGCUAUGGAACGAACAAGUGAAAUGAGACAAGAGCAGAUGAUAGCAGAGAUCAGAAUGCCUUAGGUCUUAUAUGGUGCUUUUUUGAUUUUAAUUUACAGCGAAUUUUCUGUUUAAGUUAUCAAACGACAAAUUCUUCCUCUCCAUUUCUUUUAUCACUAAAUUUCUUCUCUUGUGAUUACUAUUACAAAUGCUUGAAUACAUAGCAGCUCUUAUGGUGCAUUAUUCCAAGUUCAAGGAGAUGUAGCUGAAAUACCAGCAAUGGCACGGAUCGUUAAGUUUCCAAUAGCUACUCGGUCACUCUUGCACUUGCAGCACGUCUAACACCAUGUGCAUAUUUCAUUGUAUCCUAAAUUCCUAAUUUUAUUUUCAACCACAAUGGACUUAUUCCUUUGUUGUUUUGUGUCUAAUACGAAACAUUUAGUACUUAACACACAUUUACCACAACCAUGGAAUUUGAUUGUUGCGGAGCUGACAAACUUCCAUUUCUUUGAACAAUAGUGUUAACUACUCAAGAUUGUAUAUGUAUUAGCUAGUGGUUGGUUUUAUUGCUAUGGUGUCAAAGUGAUAUCAAGAUUAAUCAAAAGAGCAUAUACAUUUUAUUUU